GGGAGGCCCUGGCCUCCCAGAAUCACUCAUCAUCAAAGUUCUGACUCAGGAGGAAGUUGGCAGCCAAAUUCUCAUUUUUUUCACACGCGAAGUAGGCCUGGAUCACCAGGCUCUCUGGGAAGCCCAGUGCCUUCAGCUGUGGGAAGAUGGGCAAUGGUAAGAAGGGGGAGGUACUGGGCUACCCACCAUGAAUGGCUCUUCAGCCAGGCCUCUUACCCUUUCUAUAGCCUCCUUCUCCUGCGGUGUCACCUGGAUAUAGUUCAUCUGUGGGGCCUCCUCACCUAUGGCACCAACCUCCCCCUCUACAUCAGAGAUGUCCGCCAGCUCCCCGGGAGGCUCAUUCAACAUCUGGAUGAACUGCUCCUGGUGACGGCUAAUUUGCUGUGAGAAGAAGAAGGGUGAGAAUUCACAGUCCUCAUCACCUAUGCCCAAGUCCCAUGUUAUACCCCUUGCUUAUUAUACCAAACUGUCAAAUACUCUGAAGGUGCAUGCUCUGGCUAAACAGCCAUGCAGCCAUGGAAAUAAGCCGUGGAAAUAAAUGGUGCCAAGGUGGGGAGAUGGAAAUAGUGGCAGAUGCCUUUAAUCCCAGCACUGGGGAGGCAGAGGCAGGUGGAUUUGAGUUUUAGGCCAACUUGGUCUACAGAAGAGUUUCAAAGUAGUCAGAGCUCCAUGGUGAGACAAAUAAAAAAGUUAAAUAAAUGUGCCGAAACUCGGCAUAGUGGUUCAUACCUGUAAUCCCAGCACUUGGGAGGCUGAAGCAGGAGAAUCAACCUGAGUUUUAAGCCAGCCUAACCUACAUAGUGAGAUUUAAAGGGGG
rnacentral:lncRNA from 1 species